rnacentral:rRNA from 1 species
UACGAACCGUCCAAACGUUAUUCGGAAUUACUGGGCGUAAAGGGCGCGUAGGCGGCCUACUAAGUCGAACGUGAAAUCCCCGGGCUCAACCUAGGAACUGCGUCGGAUACUGGAUGGCUUGAAUUCGGGAGAGGGAUGCAGAAUUCCAGGUGUAGCGGUGAAAUGCGUAGAUAUCUGGAGGAAUACCGGUGGCGAAGGCGGCAUCCUGGACCGACAUUGACGCUGAACGGCGAAAGCUAGGGGAGCAAACGGG